AACGAACGCUGGCGGCAUGCCUAACACAUGCAAGUCGAACGAGACCGCCCGGCCUAGGUGCGCACGGCGGCGUAACGCGGGGGAACCAGCCCUUAGGUGCGCAAUAACUGCCCGAAGGGGGCGCUAAGACCGCAUAAUGUCUUCGGACCAAAGAUGUAUCGCCUUUGGAUGGGCCCGGGUUGGAUUAGCCAGUUGGUAGGGUACAAGCCGACCAAGGCGAGGAUCCUUAGCUGGUCUGAGAGGAUGAUCAGCCACAAUGGGAGUGCGGCCCGGCCCAGCCUCCUACGGGAGGCGGCAGUGGGGAAUAUUGGACACUGGGCGAAGGCCUGAUCCAGCAGUGCCGCGUGAGUGAUCAAGGCCUUAGGGUUGUAAUGCUCUUUUAGCCGAGGUGAUAGUGACAGUACCGGGAAAAUAAGCUCCGGCUAACUCCGUG
rnacentral:rRNA from 1 species